rnacentral:rRNA from 1 species
CUACCCUUGACAUGGAUGGAAUCCCGGAGAGAUUUGGGAGUGCCCGAAAGGGAACCAUCACACAGGUGCUGCAUGGCUGUCGUCAGCUCGUGUCGUGAGAUGUUGGGUUAAGUCCCGCAACGAGCGCAACCCUUGUCAUUAGUUGCUACGAAAGGGCACUCUAAUGAGACUGCCGGUGACAAACCGGAGGAAGGUGGGGAUGACGUCAAGUCCUCAUGGCCCUUAUGGGUAGGGCUUCACACGUCAUACAAUGGUACAUACAGAGCGCCGCCAACCCGCGAGGGGGAGCUAAUCGCAGAAAGUGUAUCGUAGUCCGGAUUGUAGUCUGCAACUCGACUGCAUGAAGUUGGAAUCGCUAGUAAUCGCGGAUCAGCAUGUCGCGGUGAAUA